GCAGAUGGCGAUGUGCGUCUUUUAGGUUCAGGCGACGCUGCCAGUGUGACGAAUAAUUUAGUGGCUCAACAACAGCUUGUCAGACACCUCGCUAGCAAACAUAGCUACAACAUUCACGCUCUUUACACUGUUUUGGUGUAAAUUAGUCGCUGUGUAUUAAACACACUUAUGUAUGUAUGUAUGAACUUGUUGACCCAUUCAAUUAUAUAUUUACGUUGAUUGACAGCUAGCUGGUUUGCUAAGGUAGCUUGGAACUAGGCUAGUCGCUAAUGCUAGCUUGCUAACAUCCCCGAGCAUGAGUUCACUAAGCUACUCUCCUGAUGAAGAAGACGAGGUCUGCUGGACGGAGAAAGAAGCUCUGGUGAAAGAGGAGGAGGAAGAGGAGGAUGUUACAAUACAAAAACAAUUAGAGGGUGAGGCUGUUACCUUUUCAGUGAAAGAAGAGGAAGACCCGUUCAGAGUGAACGAGGAGGAGGAUGUUAUAGUAAAAGAAGAGGAGGAAGAGAAAGAGGAGGAGGGGGUGAUUUCUGUCACAUUGGAGGAAGAAGAGGAGGUUGGAGAUCUGUUUAACACCAGAGAGAGACGGGACUACCGUAGGUCCUCUGGGGAGCCUCAACAACCUCAGGAUGCUGAUGAGGCAGAGAAGAGUCUCUCCAGAUCAGAACACCAGCAGAGAUCCACAGGGAAGAGAACUCACUGCUGCUCUGACUGUGGGAAGAGAUUCUCCUCCUCAUCAGGCAUUCAAAUUCAUCAGAGAAUCCACACAGGAGAGAAAUCUUAUGGCUGUGAUCAAUGUGGGAAGAGUUUUGUUCAAUAUCGCCGUCUGAAGAUACACCAGAGGACACACACAGGAGAGAAAUCAUAUAGCUGUGAUCAAUGUGGGAAGAGUUUUACUCAGCUAAGCAGCCUGAUAUCACACCAGAGAACACACAUAGGCGAGAAACCUUAUAGCUGUACGCAAUGUGGGAAGAGUUUUACUCAGCUAAGCAUCCUGAUAUCACACCAGAGAACUGUCGUGACGUUGUAUUAAUUAAUGUGACGACUGCUCAUUGAAUUAUUAAAUGUUUCUAAUUGCGUGAUUAAAUGAAUCAAGCAAUUAUUAACUCAUUAACCUGGGGCACCAUGGGCAAAUGAGUUUUAUUGAGUUUCUAUUUCCCAAAUUAACUCAAAGAAUAUCAGAAUAUCGAUUUUAUAACCUUCGCUAAUUAAUCAGUUUCCUUUACAAUCUCAUUCUGAACGUCGCAUAAUCCGUCAAUCUGCACAAACCCGAGUCCCACCAAUGAGUUCGUACCACACCAAUCUUAGUUGAGUAUUUAUUUACUAGAAAGCUAAAAUGAUGAUAAAAGAUACACAUACACCAAAAACACAGUCUAGGCUAUUGAUUAGAACUUAGUAUUAUGGGCCAACACACUAUGGCGCGUGUUACCCAAAAUGGGGAUUUAAAAGAGAGAGAAAAAGUAAAAGCACACGAGAGAAAUAUACAUUUGGAUGCAUUUGUCAGCUAUGCUUAUUUUAACCCAAGCCUUGCCCCAAACUGCCGCUCUUAUGGGUCAGAAUAUAAUGAUGUAAUUACCUGUGGGAGGUCUCAGAUGGGAAGCUCCGCGUGGGUCGCUUUGGCCUCUCAAUGACGCACUUCUCCGGCGCAACUCUCUGGUCGUCCUCACAAUGUCAGUGUCCAUUUGGUCUGAUUCCCCGCCCUUGCUCUGGGAGGAGUCUUCUGAGGACAGACAGAUCUGUAGCUCGGGGCUCACAGCUUAGGAAUGAAACAGUGUAGAUACCACGAUUCGAUGGAGAGUGGAGGUUAGGUGGUCCGGCUUGAAUUCACCCGCUGAGACACAGCUACUCAUCAGUAGCAUGGGUAGAAAAAUAUUUAUUUGUCUUCAACCUUGGGUUGAGUUUUGGGUUCGUUUACUUUUUAGACCUAGGCUGCAGCUUGGGUCACUUAGUCUGAUCUGUUCAUUCUGACUCACAGGUCUUAUACCCUUGGGUCAGAAGUGGGCGUAACCGCCUUCAGGGCAAUUCUCUGGGUGUACCAAGUUAAGAGGCAAGGUCUAGAUUUUACUCAAAUCCAAUUUUAGACAACUAACUUAACAUUUCAACUUUACCAAAACAUUCUCUUUGAUUUGGACAUUUUCCACACAACGUCCAAUGAAUAAACAUCAAGUGUAUCCUAGGAAAACUCUUAAAAUUACAAUGUUUCCGUAAAGACAUUGUCCUUUAACCUUUAAUAACCAGACAAAAAUGACAUACAUUUUCAUAUUCCAUUGUGGCUGACGGAAACCAUUGUUCCAAAGUCCCUUUAUUGCAUGUUUAAUGUUCUGAGGCUGGUUCUCCAUAGUGAAAGGAAUGUUGUCUGUGGCCUAAGAUUUACCAUGGGCGUGAGGGGUCAUAAAAACCCCACAUCUUCAGACCCCUAGAUCUCUCCUCCUCUGUUGGGGGUGAGAGAUUAUCUGUAGGGUUGUGGUCUCCUGUAACCUGACCUUUUCAGGACAGUCAUGACAGAACACACACAGGAGAGACACCAUAUAGCUGUGAUGAAUGUGGGAAGAGUUUUACUGCAUCUAGAAAUCUGAAUCUACACCAGAGAACACACACAGGAGAGAAAUAUUUUUGCUGUACUCAGUGUGGGAAGAGUUUUACUCUGCUAAGCAACCUGCUUUCACACCAGAGAACACACACAGGAGAGAAAUCUCUUAACUGUGACCAGAGAUAAUCUGAUAAAAGAUCGCAGAUCAAAUAUCAGAAAGUACAUACAUGGAGUUGUUUCAUGAUAUCAAUGAAUUAAUGUCACAAUGUAAAAUGUUUUAACAAUGUACUAGGAGUAUUUUAAUAAUGUCACAAUGUAGAAGCCUAAAUGUUUGCCCCUUUAUCAAUUGAUUUCAACAUGAUAUGGACAUUAGCCUCAGGGGGAAAAUCCUGGCUAUGAAUUGAAAGUUGUUGUUUUACACUUACCACGUUGGUGACCCACUUGAAUCAAAAUGCAACACUUCAAAAUGUAGCUAGCUGUUUACCACGUUGUUGUCCUCAAACCAGUGAUGUUUACAUUAUUCCCAGAUUCCGUGUGGCUUUUGAGCUGUUAGUUUUAACAGGACGUGCAACCUCAUCUCCCUCCUCUCGCACAAUUGAUUUCAACGUGAUAUCGAUGAGUGAUGACAUAAGUGAGGCGUUCCUUUGUUUAGUGACCCCUAAAUUUAAAUGCAUCACUCCAAAAUGUAGCUGACUGUCUUCUGCAGGUUGUCCUCUAACCAGUGAGGGAAAAUAUAUCUCUCAUUUCCAUGUGUUUUUUUAGUUGUGUUAGUUUCAACAGCACGUACAACCUGAUUUCCCCCCUAAUCGAUAUCAGUGAUUUAUUGCUGCUUGUUCAUUUUUAUAAGGUGCUUGUUUUAAAUAAUACAAGUAAUAUGAUUAUUGUGGCAGAUGUUUGUGUAUAUUGCACAUUUUAUGUUUAGGUUUUCAAUAUAUUAAAGUGUUUCUGCAUAUUGGUUAUUGAUUUGCACACGUUAAAACUGUGUGUUGACAUUGGGGCUAUCGCACCUAGCAAAAUUGAAAAGAAGACUAUGCCCAACGGCCAAUAAUCAAUAAAUCUGUAAUCAAUUUUAUUAACAAUCCUACAUCACUCCAGUAUUUCUUUACAACAUUCAAAUCCUAAUUGUCUUUAUUUCCACUACUGAAGAAGCCUGACUCAAAUCACCUCAUUUUAAACAUCCAGCCUGACAAAAGAUACAUGUUUUAUUAUUCCAUGCCUCACCAUUAUGAUAAUUAUUAAUAUCAUUAAUUAUUAAUACAUAUUAACAAGGGGGUGUACAUUUGGUUUUGAUAUUUCAUAUUUACAAUUCAUGUAACAUUCAGUAAUCAUAAUUAUUUAUGCAGCCAACUGACAAUUUUUGGGUGCAAUUUCAUUGACAUUGUUAGGUUGCUAUUAUAAUAUCAGGAUUACAAUUUAUUUUGACUGCACGUUUUUCCAUAUUGGAGAUGAGUUUUGUUUGGGCUCCUUCCAAGGGGAUGAGAGUUCUAGAAGCUAGUGAGUUUUAGGAAGACGAGAGUUUUCUAGUGGGUAAUGGUUUUUUUCUUGUUUUUAAUUCUUGAGAGCCAGUAGACACCAUGUUUAUAAUGUAGAAGGUGAAGCAUUGUAGUUGAUUAUAAUGUGAAAUGGAAGUUGUUUUCUGUUGGUGGUAAGCACACUUGUCCAACAAAAAUAUACAAUAUAUUUGGGCAAGGUGAGACGUCUGCGUCUCACAUAGCCAACAGGAGAUGGAAAUGCGCAAUGCCAAAUGCUAAUAGUACUCACUAAAACUCAAACUUUCAUUAAAACACACAUGCAGGGUACUCAAUUAAAGCUACACUCGUUGUGAAUCUAGCCAACAUGUCAGAUUUUUUAAAUGCUUUUCGGCGAAAGCAUGAGAAGCUAUUAUCUGAUAGCAUGCAACCCCCCGAAAUACCUGUAGGGAACGUAAACAAAAGAAUUAGCGUAUACCCAAAAUGUCCAUUUAUGAAGCCCGUCUGAAUCAGGAAAAAGCAGCUUUACAAAACGCAACGUCAUUUUUUUUUAUUAAAAAAGUUGCCGAUAAACUUUGUCAAAACACUUCAAACUACUUUUGUAAACCUACUUUAGGUAUUAGUAAACGUUAAUAAUCGAUCAAAUUGAUCACGGUGCGAUCUGUAUUCAAUAGCAGCAAAUCUUGAAAUGAAGGUCCAUUUUCUCUCUCUCAAAACUUCCAGCUGUGGACUCGAUAACAGGAAGUGCCUAUUUCUCAUCUCACCAAGGAUUAACUUCAAACCAAAUGACAGUACUGGCGACAUCGUGUGGAAGCUGUAGGCAUUGUAAACUGGUCGCUAUCUAUUUUCCCUUGCCAUAGACAAUACAGGCAACUGGCGGAAGGAUAUUUUUUAUUUGUUUGGUGAACAGUUUUCCUUGGGCUUUUGCCUGCUCCACACGUUCUGUUAUAGUCACAGACAUGAUUUAACUAGUUUUAGAAACUUCAGAGUGUUUUCUAUCCACACAUACUAAUCAUAUGCAUGUACUAUAUUCCUGGCAUGAGUAGCAGGACGUUGCAAUUUUGCGCGAUUUUUAACAAAACGUUGAAAAAAAAGACCCGAUCUUUAAGAGGUUUAAUAGAUGCCCUCAAUCUCACACAAAUUAUCAAGGAACCCACCAGGUACAACCCUAAAUCCGUAAACAUGGGCACCCUCAUAGAUAUUAUCCUGACCUCCAAAUACACCUCUGCUGUUAUCAAUCAGGAUCUCAGCGAUCGUUUCCUGCAUCCGUUAUGGGUCCGCCGUCAUUCGACCAACCCUCAUCACUGUCAAACGUUCCCUAAAACUCUUCUGCAAGCAGGCCUUUCUAAUCGACAAUUUCCUCACCACCUUAAAUAAACAUGCCCCUUUCAAAAAAUGUAGAACUAAGAACAGAUAUAGCCAUUGGUUCACUCCAGACCUGACUGCCCUUGACCAGCACAAAAACAUCCUGUGGCGUACUGCACUUGCAUCGAAUAGUCCCCGCGAUAUGCAUCUUUUCAGAGAAGUCAGGAACCAAUACACACAGUCAGUUAGGAAAGAAAAGGCUAGCCUUUUCAAACAGAAAUGUGCAUCCUGUAGCUCUAACUCCAAAAAUUUCUGGGACACUGUAAAGUCCUUGGAGAAUAAGAGCACCUCAACCCAGCUGCCCACUGCACUGAGGCUAGGAAACACUGUCACCACCGAAAAGUCCACGAUAAUCGAGAAUUUUAACAAGCAUUUUUCUACGCCUGGCCAGACACUCUUAAAUAGAACCUGGACCAGCUGGCUACCCCAAACCCCGGCCAACAGCUCCGCACUCCCGCAGCUACUUUCCCAAGCCUCCCCAGCUUCUCCUUCACCCAAAUCCAGAUAGCUGAUUAUUCUGAAAGAGCUGCAAAGCCUGGACCCGUACAAAUCAGCUGGGCUAGACAAUCUGGACCCUCUCUUUCUAAAAUGAUCUGCCGCCAUUGUGGCAACCCCUAUAACUAGUCUGUUCAACCUCUCUUUCGUAUCGUCCAUGAUUCCUAAACAUUGGUGUGGGUUUUUCUUUUCUUUGCCUCUUCUUGGGAAGAUUUAGUGGGUCUCAUGGUGUGUGUAUUUUAGGUCCCAGUUGUUGUUACUAGUCAAUGUUCAGUGGACACAGAGCAAAACUGCAAGAUUAUGUUCUAAUACUUUUAUUGCAUCAAAUGGUUGUUUUAUGCAACAGAAUAGAGGGUUCUUAGAACUAUUAUGUCUGUGUUCUACUGAGGAUGGGCCUCAGUAGACAAUGACAGGGGAUUUACAAUGUCUUUUGGGUGAUAAAACCUAAAGAGACCGCAUUCCAGAGCAUGAGUUAAUGUUUCUGUUCUAUAUGGUACCAGGGAGAGAUGACCCCAGGGCCAGACCCUGGUCUCUACACAAAGAGUACUGUUUUUACAGCAGAUACUGUCUGCUGAGAAUUAUCGGUAUCUUUCAUACAAAUCGUAAUCUUGUGAACCGUUCUAUACAUCUAUUGUUCGUCAUGUAGGUUGAAAGGAGAGUAUCUUGGCUAUAAAAGACCUUUGUACUUUUGUCCUGUGGGUCGACCAGCCAUUAGUAUCGUAGAGCACACAAUUGAUUAACUUUAUAUAUGUACGUUCUAUUGACCUGCUCUCUUAUUAAUAAGUGAAUAAAGAUUUAUUUUAAGAAUAA